rnacentral:rRNA from 1 species
CCUACGGGGAGCAGCAGUGAGGAAUAUUGGUCAAUGGCCGGAAGGCUGAACCAGCCAAGCCGCGUGAAGGACGAAGGUGCCAAGCAUUGUAAACCUCUUUUGUCGGGGAGCAAAAGCCGGACGUGUCCGGCUGUGAGAGUACCCGCAGAAAAAGCAUCGGCUAACUCCGUGCCAGCAGCCGCGGUAAUACGGAGGAUGCGAGCGUUAUCCGGAUUUAUUGGGUUUAAAGGGUGCGCAGGCGGAUUUUUAAGUCAGCGGUCAAAUCGUGGGGCUCAACCCCAUCCAGCCGUUGAAACUGGGGAUCUAGAGUGUGCGAGAGGUAGGCGGAAUGCGUGGUGUAGCGGUGAAAUGCAUAGAUAUCACGCAGAACCCCGAUUGCGAAGGCAGCAUACCGGUGCACAACUGACGCUCAGGCACGAAAGCGUGGGUAUCGAACAGGAUUAGAUACCCUGGUAGUC